AUUUUGGAUUAAGUUUGUGAUCUAUCAUUAAGAUAUUAGAGAGUUCUGAUCUGAAAUAUUGAUGAAUAACAGAAAAAAAAAUACAGAUGUUAAUGCACCACAAUAUGAUUAUAUUUGACUGUGUAAACUUUUCAUAUUUACUAUACCAUUCAUUUGUACUCCAGAAAGCGCUCUGAAAGAACUGGGUUUGAAGCCUUCUCGAAGGGCCAACGGGAGAAAAUGAUAACAGAAGUGCUGCAGAGGAUGGGGCGGAGGAUCGGCAACUUUCUUUUCAAUGGCAGAUAGUGAAAUUAGGCAGGCUGAAAAAAAUCCAUUGUCACGCUACAUGUGGAUGUUUUCUAUAUUUACUGUGUUUUUGGAUCUUCUUAGAAAUUCUACAGAUAAAGACACUUCUCACAGUGACUGUAAUUUUUGGAUCUUGUAGAGAUUUUAUAUAUAAAGACACUUCUCACAGUGACUGUAAUUUUUGGAUCUUGUAGAAAUUUUAUAUAUAAAGAUACUUUUCUCA